UACGGGGGGAGCAAGCGUUGUUCGGAUUUACUGGGCGUAAAGGGCGCGUAGGCGGCACCGCAAGUCGACUGUGAAAUCUCCGGGCUUAACUCGGAAAGGUCAGCCGAUACUGCGGGGCUAGAGUGCAGAAGGGGCAACUGGAAUUCUCGGUGUAGCAGUGAAAUGCGUAGAUAUCGAGAGGAACACCAGUGGCGAAGGCGAGUCUCUGGACAUUUCCUGACGCUGAGGCACGAAAGCCAGGGGAGCAAACGGG
rnacentral:rRNA from 1 species